AUGUACACCAUCACCUUGGGCAUGCUUGUGGCACUGCUGCUUGGCCUCAACAUGUCCUGGAGUGCCAUUAGCGUCGCCCUCACGCUCAUCUUCCUCGACUUCAAGGACGCUCGCCCCUGCCUCGAGAAGCUGUGGGUUAAUGUUGGUGGUUUUGUUCUACUUGGAUGCAUUGGUACCCAUCAUCGAGCGAACGGAUGCAACAGCGGCAAGAAGCUCAUGGUUGUGUGCAUCUAA
rnacentral:rRNA from 1 species